GAUGAACGCUGGCGGCGUGCCUAAUACAUGCAAGUCGAGCGAACAGACGAGGAGCUUGCUCCUCUGACGUUAGCGGCGGACGGGUGAGUAACACGUGGAUAACCUACCUAUAAGACUGGGAUAACUUCGGGAAACCGGAGCUAAUACCCGAUAAUAUAUUGCACCGCAUGGUUCAAUAGUGAAAGACGGUUUUGCUGUCACUUAUAGAUGGAUCCGCGCCGCAUUAGCUAGUUGGUAAGGUAACGGCUUACCAAGGCAACGAUGCGUAUCCGACCUGAGAGGGUGAUCGGCCACACUGGAAGUGAGCCACGGUCCAGACGCCUACGGUAGGCAGCAGUAGGGAAUCUUCCGCAAUGGGCGAAAGCCUGACGGAGCAACGCGGCGUGAGUGAUGAAGGUCUUAGGAUCGUAAAACUCUGUUAUUAGGGAAGAACAAAUGUGUAAGUAACUAUGCACGUCUUGACGGUACCUAAUCAGAAAGCCACGGCUAACUACGUG
rnacentral:rRNA from 1 species